rnacentral:rRNA from 1 species
AGAGUUUGAUCAUGGCUCAGAACGUACGCUGGCGGCACGCCUAACACAUGCAAGUCGAACGAAGUAGCAAUACUUAGUGGCAGACGGGUGAGUAACAUGUAGGUAUCUGCCCUUUGGCCUGGAAUAACACGAGGAAACUUGUGCUAAUACCGGAUAAGUCUUUACGGAGAAAGCUUUAUGCACCAUUGGAUGAGCCUGCACUUGAUUAGUUUGUUGGUGGGGUAAUGGCCUACCAAGACUUUGAUCAAUAGCUGAUUUGAGAGGAUGAUCAGCCACAUUGGGACUGAGACACGGCCCAAACUCCUACGGGAGGCAGCAGUGGGGAAUCUUGCACAAUGGAGGAAACUCUGAUGCAGCGAUGCCGCGUGAGUGAAGAAGGCCUUUGGGUUGUAAAGCUCUUUCGUCGGGGAAGAAAAUGACUGUACCCGAAUAAGAAGGUCCGGCUAACUUCGUGCCAGCAGCCGCGGUAAUACGAAGGGACCUAGCGUAGUUCGGAAUUACUGGGCUUAAAGAGUUCGUAGGUGGUUGAAAAAGUUGGUGGUGAAAUCCCAGAGCUUAACUCUGGAACUGCCAUCAAAACUUUUCAGCUAGAGUAUGAUAGAGGAAAGCAGAAUUUUUAGUGUAGAGGUGAAAUUCGUAGAUAUUAGAAAGAAUACCAAUUGCGAAGGCAGCUUUCUGGAUCAUUACUGACACUGAGGAACGAAAGCAUGGGUAGCGAAGAGGAUUAGAUACCCUCGUAGUCCAUGCCGUAAACGAUGUGUGUUAGACGUUGGAAAUUUAUUUUCAGUGUCGCAGCGAAAGCGAUAAACACACCGCCUGGGGAGUACGACCGCAAGGUUAAAACUCAAAUGAAUUGACGGGGACCCGCACAAGUAGUGGAGCAUGUGGUUUAAUUCGAAGAUACGCGCAGAACCUUACCAACACUUGACAUGUUCGUCGCGACUCUAAGAGAUUAGAGUUUUCGGUUCGGCCGGACGAAACACAGGUGCUGCAUGGCUGUCGUCAGCUCGUGUCGUGAGAUGUUGGGUUAAGUCCCGCAACGAGCGCAACCCUCACUUUUAGUUGCCAUCAUUAAGUUAGGCACUCUGAAAGAACUGCCAGUGAUAAGCUGGAGGAAGGUGGGGAUGACGUCAAGUCCUCAUGGCCCUUACGUGUUGGGCUACACACGUGCUACAAUGGUAUCUACAACAGGAAGCAAAACUGCGAAGUUAAGCAAAUCCUUAAAAGAUACCUCAGUUCGGAUUGCACUCUGCAACUCGAGUGCAUGAAGCUGGAAUUACUAGUAAUCGUGGAUCAGCGUGCCACGGUGAAUGCGUUCCCGGGUCUUGUACACACCGCCCGUCACACCAUGGGAGUUGGUUCUACCUUAAGGCAAGGUUUCAAACCCUUGACCACGGUAUAGUCAGCGACUGGGGUGAAGUCGUAACAAGGUA